CUCUCUCUGCUUUCUGCUACGUGAGGAUACAAAGAGAAGGAAGCCAUCUGCAAACCAGGAAGUCAGUUCUCACCAGACGUUAGAUCUGCCUACACCCUGACCUUGGACUUCCAGAUCUCUCCAGAACUUAGGGACAGCAGCUACAAGGCUCCUUGUGAUGGAUCCUAAACUGAUAUCUAAACCAGUUGGAAAAAACCCAAUACUUUGAUUCAGGAAGACAUGAAUGGAAAAUAGAGUACUGAUUAAGAGAGAAGGCUGCCACAAAUGAGAUUGCCAACUUUGAACAAUGGCACCACCAACACUUACUAUACAUGUGACCCUGGAAAAGAUGUGAAUGAAACUGGGACUCCUCUCUCCCUCGUCAAACAGGCAAAUCUAGCAAGUGAGCUGCAUACGCUUAAAGUCAGUACAAUAAAAAUCCAUGCUCUGCUGUGAGGAAGCCAUGCAGGCCUCAUAAGCCUGUCUCUAUACAAUCUUGCAACCCAUCGUCUCAUGACUGAAGAUGCCAGCAGGAUGAAUCAGCAUCAGGAAGAGAAAAUGGGUACCUUGCUCUCACAUUUCCCAGCUGCGUUUAUUAGAGAUUGAGGGGAAAAGUGACAACCCUGGUCUUGCCUCCCUCCACACAUAGAUAAUACCAACAUUCCAAGCCUUGCUUGAUGUAUAACCAAAAAGCUCUUGUUCAUUUUAUCUUUGAAGUAUAUGAAUAUCACAUGUGUAAGCCCUUAUUGCUUUGUUAAAAAGUAUAUAAACUACACUCAUAUCUGUGGAUCUCGAAGUAGUUCCUCAGAAUACUCUGUUUGACUAUUUCCCAGGACUCAAGUUCCUCACUUUGGUUAUCAAAUAAACUCUUUCAUUUAACCUUU
rnacentral:lncRNA from 1 species